UACGUAGGGCGCAAGCGUUAUCCGGAAUUAUUGGGCGUAAAGAGCUCGUAGGCGGUUUGUCGCGUCUGCUGUGAAAGACCGGGGCUCAACUCCGGUUCUGCAGUGGGUACGGGCAGACUAGAGUGAUGUAGGGGAGACUGGAAUUCCUGGUGUAGCGGUGAAAUGCGUAGAUAUCAGGAGGAACACCGGUGGCGAAGGCGGCUACCUGGACAGAGUCUGACGCUGAGGCACGAAAGCUAGGGGAGCAAACAGG
rnacentral:rRNA from 1 species